rnacentral:rRNA from 1 species
AACGAACGCUGGCGGCAUGCCUAACACAUGCAAGUCGAACGAACCCUUCGGGGUUAGUGGCGCACGGGUGCGGAACGCGUGGGAAGCUGCCCUUUGCUUCGGAAUAACUCAGGGAAACUUGGGCUAAUACCGGAUGAGGUCUUCGGACCAAAGAUUUAUCGGCAGGGGAUGAGCCCGCGUAGGAUUAGGUAGUUGGUGGGGUAAAGGCCUACCAAGCCGACGAUCCUUAGCUGGUCUGAGAGGAUGAUCAGCCACACUGGGACUGAGACACGGCCCAGACUCCUACGGGAGGCAGCAGUGCGGGAUAUUGGACGAUGGGCGCAAGCCUGAUCCAGCGAUGCCGCGUGAGUGAUGAAGGCCCUCGGGUCGUACAGCUCUUUUACCAGGGAUGAUAAUGACGGUACCUGGAGAAUAAGCUCCGGCUAACUCCGUG